AGCUAAGUAGCCCAGUGGAUAGAGCACCACUUGGAAUUAGGAAUAUUUGGGUUCAAAUCCUGACUCAAUUA
rnacentral:tRNA from 1 species